UACAGAGGUCUCAAGCGUUGUUCGGAUUCAUUGGGCGUAAAGGGUGCGUAGGCGGCGCGGUAAGUCGGGUGUGAAAUCUCGGAGCUUAACUCCGAAACUGCAUUCGAUACUGCCGUGCUUGAGGACUGGAGAGGAGACUGGAAUUUACGGUGUAGCGGUGAAAUGCGUAGAUAUCGUAAGGAAGACCAGUGGCGAAGGCGGGUCUCUGGACAGUUCCUGACGCUGAGGCACGAAGGCGUGGGGAGCGAACAGG
rnacentral:rRNA from 1 species